rnacentral:rRNA from 1 species
AAGCGUUUGCGAUCAGACUCGCCGACGGGGUUCAGCCUGCCUUCGGGCAGGUGUACUUCCCCGCCGGCGGGCCAGCGUCGGUUUGGGCGGCCGGUCAAAGGCCCUGGGAAUGUAACGCCUCUCGGGGCGUCUUAUAGCCCAGGGUGUCAUGCGGCCUGCCCGGACCGAGGAACGCGCUUCGGCUCGGACGCUGGCAUAAUGGUCGUAAA